CAUAUCUUAUGUUGGGUCCCUAAUGUUAUCGCUCUAAACAUUUAAUCGUACUCACUGAUAUAACUGGACUCAUCUUCCACUUGUUUUAAUUACUCUCUUUUCAAUUUUCAGAUCGGUGAUUGCGCACGUGCUCGCAGGUGCGUCUUCUGCCUGUGUCAAAUCUAUGAGAAGUGCUGCCUGCCGCGUAACUUUUAGGGCUCCGUUCAGGGACCAUGACUAUACUGCGUGUAUGCUUGCUGAAGUUGGCGCCACUGGUUUCGGCACGACUCGAUGAAUAGAUCGGUGGUUGCACUCGAGGCGCAGCGUGCUCUCAGCCUCGUGUCUUCUACGGUGCCGUUCAGGGACAUACAAGGACUGCCCUUUGUGUUAAAGUUCGAGCCACGGUUUCCUGUUGCCAUUCGAUUAAAUGGUGUUU